rnacentral:misc_RNA from 1 species
AUGGAAUUUAGUAAGAUGACCCAAAUUUUCAGAAGGGAGAAAAGAUGAGCCGGCCAUUCUUCUCUUUCAAAUUCGCCUUCUUCUUCUCCCUUUCUCUUGCCGCUUCCUACACUGUCACUUCAACCCCAACAUUCUACUCCUUCCGUAAGAUCAAACUACGUGCCUCACCGUCCGUACCCAAGGCCUCAGUCGCCGAUUUGCUCGCUCUGUUGGGCCCACC